GCCGGGAUGGCGGAACGGUAGACGCGACGGACUCAAAAUCCGUUGUCCGAAAGGGCGUGCGGGUUCGAAUCCCGCUCCCGGUA
rnacentral:tRNA from 1 species